UACGGUGGGUGCGAGCGUUGUCCGGAAUCACUGGGCGUAAAGGGCGCGUAGGUGGCGCGGGCAGUCAACGGUGAAAGUUCGGGGCUCAACCCUGAAUCGGCCGUCGAUACUCCCGGGCUUGAGCACUGUAGAGGCAGAUGGAAUUCCGGGUGUAGCGGUGGAAUGCGUAGAGAUCCGGAAGAACACCGGUGGCGAAGGCGGUCUGCUGGGCAGUAGCUGACACUGAGGCGCGACAGCGUGGGGAGCAAACAGG
rnacentral:rRNA from 1 species